UAAUGAAGUUGACCCUCAAACUCCAAAUUAGUUUGAGAAAGCUGUAAAACAUGACAUGCCAUAGAAUAUGAGUUUUGUGUGAAAUAAAUGGCAACUUCCCAAAACAGGUGGUAUUAACAGUAGAAGGAAAAUGUUUGUGUGCAUUCUUGGGGCUGGCAUUUGGCCUACUGAUUAAGACACCAGUUCAGAUGCCCAUGUACCAUAUCAGAGUGCCUGGGUUCAAGACCAGCUCUUCCUUCUGACUCCAGUUGCCUGCUAAUGCAGACCCUGGGAGGCAGUGGUGAUGGCUCAGGGACUGGGUUCCCACAAAGGAGAUAUGGAUUGUGUUCCUGAAUUCUGGCUUUGACUUCAGCCUAGCCCUGGCCAUUGUAGGCACUUGGGGAGUGAGGCAGUGGAUGUCUGUCUGUCUCUGUCCCCCUGUCUCUCAAAUCAAUACAUUAAGUUAAAUUAAGAAGUUUGUGCACAUUCUCAAUCUUGCCAAGCAAAGUCUUUCUUGUUUAUCUUCCUGGGCUUCUCCCACAAAUGCAUUAAAGCAGUUUUGGAGUUGUCUGGACCCCACCCUGAGCGCUCUAGGCAGUGCAUACACGGCAAAAGACCUCCUUCCCUUUAAACCAUUUCUCUAAGUCCCAGACAUCCUAAUGUCCCAAGUUUUUAAAUUAUUCUUUACAUGCUUCUCUCAUUAGCCCUAUUUUGAUCUGGGUUUCCCCCGAAGCAGAUAGGAGCAUAAGUAGUCUAUAGAGGAGGUGAUUCCAGGAAAUACUAGUCAGGCAUGGGGAAGUGAGACCAGAAAGGGAAGAGCAGCAAUCAAGCGUGCAUCAUCACACAAGCACCGCUGAGGACGACUGGUACCCGACCCCACUGGAGCUCUGAGGACCAGGGGAGAACCUAUCCCAAAUUUAUUCCUAGAGAAGGGUAGAGAAGGUGGGGUGUUUUCCACCAACUUCCUGCCUGAAAUUAGUUGAGAACAGCUUAUGGGAGCAUGAUUUUCCAUCACUGCUGACUUGCCCCGUUUGGCCCCAACAUGCCCCCAAUGAUGAGAAAAAGCCCAGAGACAGAGGGGCUCAGUGUGGGCUAUCAAGAGCCUUAAUUGAAAUAUCAAGGUGGCACCAAUAGCUACAGCACUUCUGCUACAAUCUCUUUCGUCUAGGACAGGGGCUUUCCACCCAAAUACAGUCUCUGCGAUUCUGUUUUUCUUUUGUUUCUGUGCCGUUACCAAGAGAAGUCAUCAUGCUACUCACCACUUCAUCUUCCUGUGCCGAAAAACUUCAAUCUAUGUUUCACAUUCUGUCUUCCCCACGUGCUGGUUCCACAUCCCGGGCUGUUGAUAGAAUGACUGCACUGGGGUAUCUCAUCAUCAACCUUCAAAAUUCCAAAUUCCUGCUCAUUGUUAUACAAAAUGUUUAUUCUUUCUACAUAUAUUUGUUGAACUUCAACUAUGGUGCUAGGCAUUGCCUAGGUAGUGGGGAUAUGCCAGUAAAUAAAGCAUAUUUGUCUUCACAGAUUUCAAAGUCUGAAGGCAAACAGAGGAAUGCAGACACAUAAACAGGGAGCCACUUGUCCCCGCCCUGGAGCAAGGUCUACACGGGAGAACAUCAGAGGUCGCUUCUUAAGCUGGACUUGGAGGAGAGAGAGAUUUCACUCAAGCCUGCAGCUCUCAGCUCUGACUGCACAGAAUCACAGUAUUGUUUUUAACAAUACUGGUACCCUUCGGAGACCAGUGAAGUCAAAACCUCUGGGAGUAAGCUUUAGGUGUCUGUAAAUCUCUCAUGUAAUUCUAAUGUGCAGCCACUGAUGUAGGCCCUGCCGUAACCUGAUGACGGCUUCCCUGGUAAGUAGAUGUCCUUGUCCCUCCAAAUCCAGCAUUUGCUGGGUUGGACAAGAAUGGGUACACACUGGCAACUUUCUGGUCUCUGACCUCAAGAGUUCUGGUUUUUGUUCUGUUGACAUAUACUUUCUUUUUCAUUACAAGAGAUUUCAAGCAUACAAGAAAAAUAGUGUGACUAAUGAACGUGCCCCUAAAAGACCAAGCUUUGUCAAAUCCUACUAUUUUGUAUAUGCAGAUAUUUUCAUAAAAUUACAGGUAUGGAUUUAGGUCUCCUGUACUGCCCUGUGCAAAUGCAGUUUCCUUCUUUCUCUGCUUAGAGGUGACCUCUCUUCCUCAGGUGGAAUUCACCCUUUCUAUGCAUGUUUUAUCCUUCCACCAGAAAUGGAUACAGACUGGUAAGUUUUAGGUAAGUGAUACCAACCUACACAUAUCCUGUUGCUUGCCACCUUUGCUUGAUUAUGUUUUUGAGAAUUCCCAUGCUGAUACAUGUAGCUUUAAUUCAAUCACUGUCACCAGUAUACAAUUCCAGAAGUUCCUAUAAAAGCAACUUCCAUUUGUUUCUCUUGGGUGCACUACAUACCUGAAAGUGGAAUGGUUGGGUCAAUUGCACAUACAAUUUUAAAGUGAAAACUCUAUCUUUAAAAGACUUUAACAGAUAUGGCCCAAAUUACUUUCCAGAGCAGUUCCAAGUUACUCUCCCACCAGCCAGAUGUGAAAUUCCCUUUGAGUCACAACUUCUUCAGCACUUGGCACUGUCAGACUUUAAACUUUGGCCAGCAUGUAGGCAUGAAAUAAUACUGUUUCUAAGUUGUAAUUCCUCAGUUACUGGUGAGGUUGAGCAUUUUCUUAUACAUUUAUUGGCUAUGCUAUCUUCCUUUUCUGGGAAGCAGUGAUCAUGAAUUUUUUUAGCCUGAGCACAAUUAUUUAGCAUAGAAUAAGUUUUUAAAAUAUUCUUCAGAAGGGAAUAUUUCAAAAAUGUGCUUGUCAAUGGAAAUGUAGAAUCAGAUACCUAUUUGAUCAUGAAUUAUUACAAAUUACAAAGAAUUCUCAGAGGACAAUAUUAAAGGAUCUUGGUACAUAAAAGCCAAAAGUGAGAAAAUGUAGGCAAUUCAAAGUUUGGGAAAGAAGAGGAUUGGGAUGAAACAAUGGACAGCAUUGAAGGAAAAGCACUCCUCUGUCUUAACCAACAGCAGAGGGGAAGGGAUUUCAUCGUUUUUAUAGACCCCAUAUUUUACCUACCAGAAAAUUCCAUUUCAUAAUGGUCAGACAGAGAAGGGGACUCCCAACAUCACCUUCCACAAGAAAAGAUGCUUCCUGGAAAGAGGAUGAGGCCGCACCGACACUGAAAUCUUUUGGGAACUAGAACAUGUGCACAGUCAUUUUGUUACUCACAGAAGUUUGUGACCUGCAAUUAACCUUUGGGAUCGCCUAAUUACACUAGGAUGAAGUGUUUGUCUGUUUUGUACAGCAAUUAGAAUGGUAUCUGGACUACCCCAUGUGUUCAAGUAAGCAUUUGUUGAAUGAGUCAAUAAAUGGGAAAACUAAUUAAUACUAACACAUACAAAUAUCAUUUUGUUUGCUUAUGAUUUUUCCAAAAACAAAACCUAUUUCAGUGUUAGAACCCAUGGGAGCACGGCUCUUACAUGGAACAGAAGUGAACAGCAGCUCAUUUGCCAGUUCCCUCGGAGUCUCAGCUUUCAAAACCCCGAGGAGUCUCUUCAACUGUUAGGAAAACAAAGAUAAGCAUAACACAAACCGAGUUACUGAUUUCAGUGUGGGAUUUCCAGGUUGAUUUUUCUCAAAUUAGAAAUCCCUCGGGAAGGCUUGCUAUGGAGAAAUGGGGAUCACCAUGAAAGGACUCCAAAAAGUUGAUGGAAAAUGAAAUUAGAGCUACAUUUAAGACAAUAUAAAACAUUUUGCAAUUCAUGCAUAUUCUAUGAUACCCAUUUUCCUCCAACAUUUUUUUCAAAAGUGCUUUUUUCUCAAAGAAUCAGUCAGCCAGGACAGUGGGCAUUGUAUUCUGUACCUCUGGGGGCAUCCCUGGAGAGGCAAAUCCUGUCCAUAUCAUUGUUAGCUGUCCACUUCAUCAAUAUGAUAAGAAAAACAUUCAGUUCCUCCAAAUUCCAUAAGACUUCCCCUUCAGGGGCCAGCGUUGUGGUACAGUGGGUUCGGCUACCACUUCUGACACUAGCAUCCCAUGUCAGAGUGCCACUGUGUGUCCUGCUUGCUCUGUUUCCCAUACAACUUCCUACUGAUGCCCCCAGGAAGGCAGCGGACUAUGGCCUAUGUGCUUGGGCCCUUAUCACCUAUGGGAGACAACCAGUUGGUGUUCAUGCUGCUGGCUUCAGCCUGGUCCAGACCUGGCCAAUGUGGUCAUUUGUGAACCAUAGGUUAGGAAGAUCAACUGAAGAAUUUCUCCACAUUUCAGAGUAAAAUAGAAAUAAAGAAGAGGGGUUAUGAUUAAGACUUUGUCUUCCUGAAGCCAAAGACCUUUGUUUAAAUUAAAAUUUGGAUCAACUCCAGUUAGGGAAACAAAGGGGCUAUUAGGAAAGUGUGAGGAGGCUUGGAAGGAGUGGGGAAGGAAGCCCUUGCACUGCCCACGGGCCCUCGCUGCUCUGCUCAGCCCAGCCAGCAGCCACCGCAGGGGCGGAGAUGGGACCCGGGGAUGAUCCGUCUGAUGUCCUCAGGGUGACCUCAUUCGGAUGUUCUGCACCCCCGGGAACUCUGAGUGGGCCAGUGUGUGCUUCAGCACGCCAUAAACACAGGACCUGUAGCAGACUAAAUACAGUAAACGUGGUCCUCAGAACAGGUCCCAAACAGCCCGACCCCCGUCUGCCACGGCUUGGAAGGAGUGCAGACAGAAAAGGUGAUGAAAUGCCUGCAGGGCGUGAGGCAGCCUGGAAAGCCCCGGGCGAGGUCCCCAGGCCCACCCCGCUCCACAUCACGACCAGCAACACCACCUGCUCUCAAGGCUCUGGGUUGUCAAGACGUUGACCAUUUCUGGGGGAAGCUUGUUGAUGACUUUAAGGGACACAAGGAUUCCAGGACAACUGACCAUGGAGGGCGCUGCUUUCCAACGAGCCACCCACCCUCGCUGGGAUCGGGACCCUGCUGCUGCUUAUCCAGAUGCUGCAGAGAAUAUUCCUCUUUCGGUGACUCCUGAAUGAACUUCUCUCACUGUGGAGAACCCAACAUUCGCCAUCCUUCUCCCCAGUGUGGAAAGCCCCUAAAGGGAGCGCUUCCUCUUCUGCACUUCAAGUUAACUGACCAGAUUUUUUCCCAAAAAAUCUCUAGGAAUAUUUUUUUUUCACUUAAUGACUUUUACAUUGUAGUCAAGAUACCCAUGUUUCAAGUAGCAUUAGUUUAAUUCAUUAUAAAACAUUGAAAUCAAUUUUUAAGAUAUCUGACGUGAGAAAAAUUGUCAUGGAAAAUGAUUUUCUUCUCUUGGAGUGACCCAUGUGCACUAUGCCAUGUAUGUGUGUGUGUGUCCUUGGCAAUACCCCCAAUGAAUUCCAGGCCCCAGACCCCAGAAGCACCAAAGACCACAACCCGCAGAUGUGUUAGCCACAUCUGUACAAUGGCAUCUGCUUGGUGCUGGCGUGAGAAUCCAUCCGCAAGCUAUGAUCUAAGGGUCGGCUGGAUGUGAAGAUAAUUUUGUUGUAAGGAAGGGGAACUGCAAAGUCUAGUUGCACGUGGUUUGAUAUGAGUCUCUUUAACAAUUCACCAGAACUUCGGAAGUUCCAAAACAGAUCAUAGUAAUAGAUAAUAUCUUUGGAUAAAUCACAAACUGCGAAGCAUUUUGCUGAGGGCUUUUGGCUGGGCUUCAUUCAUCAGGCAAACUUACCAAGUCUUCUGGGUCCAUCUGCAGCAAUGACUUACUGUACACUUCUAAUAUUCUUUAUUGCUUUUAUUUUAAUAUUUAUAUUUUCUCUUGUACUCUCCCACUAAUCAUUUCAAAAUUAAAUAGACUUUUCAAAGAACCCAAUUUGAUUCUUGUCUGUUUUGUAUUUGGUGAAUUUUCACCCUAUUUUUAGUAUCUCCUUCCUUCUACUUUCUUUCUCUAACUUCCUGAGAAUCUCCUUCUAGAACUUCCAUUAGGUACAUCUCACACAUUUUCAUAAGCAACAUUCCUCUCUGGUUCAGUCUAAAAUACAUGCUCAUAUAUGUUAUUUGUUAUGAUUUGCUUCCUCUGACCCAAGAUACAUGAUAUAUCUUUCUUUUCAAAAUGUAUUUGUUUACUUAUUGAUUUCUAGCUUAAUGGUAUUGAGGUCAGAG